UCCUAAGAAUUGAAUGUUUCAGAACUUCUGUUCAAGACACAGUUAACUGGAGAAACAAGGAACAUCUGAUUAAUCAGGCUGUAAGUAUGUGAAGGAUGAUGGCGUCUGUUAAAGAGCUGCUCGUGGAUUCACUGAAGGAGCUGGUAGAAGCUGAACUGAAAGAGUUUCAUUGGCGCUUAAAUUGUGAGCAUUUAUCAAGGUCUGAAUUGGAAAAGGCGGAUAGAUUUGACACAGUAGACAAGAUGAUAAAAUGUUUUGGACCAGAUGAAGCUGUGAAGGUUACAGUAGAGAUGCUGAGAAAGAUGAAGCAAAAUUAUCUGGCUGAACAGUUGGAGAAAAAUUACAAGCAAGCUCAGACUGAGGGCAACAUGAAGAAAUCUGCUGCUGUUGGAGGUGAAUCACUACAUAUCCGUAAACAACAAUUACUGCAUUUAA